UGACCUUGCCAUGGUAAUAACAUCUCUUGCCAUAUCGUUGUUACAGAACUCAGUUUUCCUCGACAUUCUACUACACUUAAUCAUUAAAUUUGUUUCAGCCGGCAGUCUCUCUUGGAUCACAUCACUGUUCAACUUGCACCGCGUGCAGCGGAUGAGCUCUAGUAUGGGAAAGAUCAGGUAUGCCUCUGGGACUACUUCAAUAAGAAGAAGCAAACUAUAUUAAUUCCAUGGAGAAGAUGGUGCUAUUCUUGUCCCUGGUGGUGUAGUUAGUAUAAAAUUGGGCGAUAUGAAGAACCUAGUGCUUAUAUGGUGGGAGAAUUGUUAGACAUAAAUGUAUGUGAUAUUUAUGAAUAUUUGGAUGACAAUGUAUGAAUAUUUUGGAUGUUAUAUAAUAUAUGUUAUCGAUGGCAAUGUCA